UACUAUCUGUGGAGAGUUCACUCGAAGAGCUGAAGAGAAUGAUUUGGGAUUUAAAAGCAAAGGCAAAACUGGUUGAUGACUUGGUGAACCUGGUCAUUAAAGCAGUAAUUGAUAAUGAUUUCAACAUUGAACAGGCAACCAUGGUCAUGAUAGACGAAGGUACAGGGGCCUUCACCGAAGCGCUGAACGAGAGCCGCCCUGUUGUUGGCGGAAGUGGUGGAGGUCAUGAGGACAGUUCUAGCAAGCACAAUUAAUAUUGUGAUACUUUGUUUUGUUUUACGUUUUCUGAAGUUUGUGAAAAAAUCGAAGUGCCAUGAUUGAGAGGGAUUAAUGGAUGAGUCCCUUAAUGAAAUCAUAUUUAAGAAUAUCUAAUAAGUUUCAAUGUAUUGAUCCAACAAUCAAAAUUUUACUGUGAAUAGCAUACCAAAAACCUACCUACACAAUCCAAAAGUAAAGCCCAAUAGAAAUUGAAACUACAUAACCGUGUUCCUAGCAACUCAACACUAUCAUAUUUGAAUUUAUAUCUUUACCUAAAAUAUAUGAGUCCUAUUGAUGGUAUUCAUGAAUACCUCGAAAUAUAAUUCUCAAAAUUUACUCCUUUUAUUAAAUCUAAACACACACAAUCUAACAUGAACAUUUCUUUUUAAAAUAUUUAAUUUUAGUAUAUACGCUGUUUCACUCUUUGGUCUAAAUUUUAAGUCUAGCGGGCCUGCCAAAGGUCAACCAUCUAACGCCAGCAUAAUUUGUCUAUAAAUAUAGUUCUGGGUUGCGAAGUUUGCAACCAUUUAUCAUCGUGGCAGUUUUUCUUUCACAGGCUUCUUUAGUAUGUUUUUACUCUCAAUCCUUCCCCUGAGAAAUAAAUUGAAGGAGUUUUAGUAUCAAAUAUUGCAAGAAAAAGAAAGUGAAAGAUCUGGGAGCUUUUAAUUUUUCUAUCAUUUUAUUUGUUUAUUUAUUUUAGCUAUGUAUCUCCUCUCCUUUUUCCCUCUGUAUCCUACAUUGAUGAAGCUUUGGUUUCUGCAGGUGACAAGGCAAAACUGUUUCCGCUUUACUGUCUCUAUUCUUAAUAUUUCAAAUUGUUGUUUGAACGAUGUGAAGGCAGGGCUUGGACCAAAAUCCUUAAAACUUGGACAAAUUACAUAAGCAUGUCUCCUAUAUUAUCUAUUUGACUGUAUAAUCUCCUUAAUCUUCUCUUGUACUCGCAGGCUUCUUCGUAUACUUUGUAGGUUUAAUUGUUUAUCUAAUUGUUAUUUCUUUAAUUGGUGUUGUUAUGGUGUUUUCCAUUACCGACCCGUAACUUGGCUGAGAUCGACUUGAUCCAGUAGUGAUAGCCUAUAUAAUUUGCUAACAUAAGUUUGCAUCAUUAUGCAAGUGAACCAAUAUUUAGGAAAUUCGUGUUAUUCUUAGAAUAAAAUACGUUUUAACUUGCAUGAUGCCUACUUAACACGUCACAUCAAAAAAUCUUAUGAAAAUGAGUCUCCUUGGAAGGUAUAUGUACAAAAACAUUCAACAGAAUUAUUUUUCUUUAUUCUGAUUAUUUAUAAAAUUAGAUAUUACAUUUUCGUUUUAACUAAACAAUGUAAACUUCAAAAAGUUAAAAAGCUGUUAAUUGAAGAAUUAAAUGUUUGAUAAGCAAUCUUAUUAAUAACUUAAAACUUCAUUUUUAGACAAAAAAGGAACUAGGAUGAAGAUUGUAACGGAUUUUCUUUUUUCAAUAUGCAUGGAACUACAGAGGAGAAAAAAGAAGAGGACAAACAUGAAUAAAUAGAAGUACAUCUAAAACUAUGCUUAGCGGUGAUGAGUUCAUCAUAUGUUUAUAAGCACAUCAUAUUUAAUACCAAAUUAAUUGAAUUUAAUGGAACAGUAACGAUGGAUAAAAAUGAAGUCGAGUAAAUAAAAGUGAUUCUUUGAUUCAAUAUUUUGUAUGUUUUGUCUAUGAAAAAGAAGAGAGAUAGCAUUAGAUUUGUCGUACUUUUGGAAAUAAUUUCUUGACUUUUUGACUGGUGAUAUAGGCCUUGCUUGUCGUUCGACUUUGCCAUAUUCGGACUACCAUUAAUCCAUUUACUGGCGAUCCUCGAAGACCGUGGUUCACGCGGAAUCUCUUUGCCUUGCCCCACACGCUUAUGCUCCUUUGAAAUUUCAAAACGUCGGUGAUGGCCAUGUACACCUGGGUCCACCCCUAUUCUUUCCAUUUUCGUAUUUCCCACCAUCUUCCGUCGGGGAUCUAAGAAGGCGCCCGAAAACGCGUAUUCGUCAUCCACUACCAUAUUCUUAUUGUGGAGUGACGGAUGGGAUGACCUAUUAUUUUAGAUUUUUUUAAAAGGUUAAUAUAAUAUUUCAUACUUUGAUUUCGCUCCCUUAUUCAAUUUUGUACCUGGUUUUUUAUUCUAUUUUCGUAUUUUCACACCAUCUUCUGUCGGCUGUCCAAGAAGGCAUGUCAAAUUGCGUAUUUGUCAUCCAUUACCAUGAAGUUGAGGUGUUCAUAGGCCGGGCCGGGUCGAGUUCGGGUCGGGCUUAACUAAAAAAUUAUGUUUAUUUAUUGGGAUCGGGCCAGGCCGGGUCCAAUAAAUAGGCUUAAAAUUUUGUUCAAGUCCGACCCGGAUAAAAAUAUUAAAAUUUGGGCUCGGCUCAGCCCGGCCGUAUUAAUUUUUUAUAUUAUUUUUAAAUAUAUAUAAUACAUCAAAAAUACAAAAUAAAUAUCAAAAUAAAUAUUUCCCAACAAAUUAAAAAUAAAUUUUAAAAAAUAUGUAGACUUAAAUAACACUAAGAUAAAUACAACUUAACAAGCAAAUGCUUCUAAAAUAAUAAAAAAAUUAACAAAUGCCUUUAAAAUAAUAAGAAAAUUAACAAUAAAAUAAAUUUAUACAAUAUCCAAACAAUAACAAUAAAAUAAUAGCAAUAUGAUAGUAAAAUAGGCAGAAAACAACAAGAAAAUAACAUUAAAAAAAAAUGCAGAUUUUUUUGUCCUUUAGUGAUUCGGGCCGGACCCGAGCUAAAAAUACCUUACCAGAGGUCAGACCCAUUUUUUAAAUGGGUUUUAUUUUUUUGUCUAAACCCAUUUUUCGAGCCUAUAUUUUGUCCAAACCCUUUCACAUUUCGAGCGGGUCUUUGGGCCGAGCCGGGUAACCCGGCCAUGCACACCUCUACCAUGAAGGGGAUGACCUAUUAUUUUGGGUUUUUUAAAGGUUAAGAUAACAUUUCAUACUUGACUUUACUUUCAUAUUUAAUUUCAUACCUGGUUUUCUUAUUUCAUUUCGUAUUUUCGCACCAUUUUCCGUCAGCGGUCCAAGAAGGGGUGCAAAACGCAUAUUCGUCAUUCACUAACAUAUUCUUUUUUGCAGAAUGACGAAGGAGAUGACCUAUUAUUUUGGGUAUUUUUAAAGUUAAUAUAACAUUUCAUACUUUGACUUGGUUCCCGUAUUCAAUUUCAUACCUAGUUUUUUUAUUCCAUUUUCGCAUUUUCGCACCAUCUUCCGUCAUCCAAAAUGCGUAUUCGAUAAGUUUAUUCUCAUUAAACUUUAAUCCUUUAAUUUGUCAUUUCGCUACUGAAUUAAUAUUAUUGAGUGAAGUAAAACUACACUCAACCAAAAACUUUAUAAAUAAUAUCUAUUUAACUAACAAAUGUGAAGUACAAUUACAUAUUUCAUGAAUUAUAAACAAACAUAAAAAAAAAUAUCCAUUCAGAUUAAAACCCGUAACAACAAGUACUAAGUUAAAAGCAAAAUAAUUUUGAGAAUUUUGAACAAAUGAGUAUCUACCAUUAAUAAUACUUACCGAAUUUAUAAAUAAGGUUUUUACUGUAUUAAAAGAUGAAAUGAUAUUUGAUACACUAGUAAAGUUUUUAGAUUCUAUAAGUAAGAUCAAGAGCUUGACAUGUGUUAUAUAGAAAGUGUAAUCAAAUAUUAAAAAGAACAUAUAAUAAUUUUUUUAAAUUAUUUGUAAAAUUUUAAAAAAAUACACUACCAAUAUACUAAAUUCUAACUAUUUUGUUUCUAACUAAGUUUACUGACAUUGAAUAAAAGAAAGUUAAGAUUUACUCCAAAUUAUUUUAUUUGAAGGUUUUAAUUUUGUUUUAUAUUAAUGUUCAGACCUAAAUAAACUUUUUUCACAAACAGAAAAGCUAAAACAUAUAUUAAAAUUUAUUUUCAGAAUUUUAAUUUGGCAUCUAAGUCUAAAAUAACAAACUUUAUUUUAAUUCGAAAUAAAAAGAUUUCAUUAAUUUUUGUCUUAAUAGAGUUCUUAAAAAGGAUUAAACUCGGUUAUUAGUCCCAAUAUUUUUUUAAAAUUAGUCAAUUUUAAUUUUAACACUUUGUGAAUUUUGAAAAUUUAUACAAAAUCGAAGAAACAAACAGAAAUGGCCAGACAGCAACUGGUCGGACUUUUGCCCACCCGAAAAUUUAUACAAAACCGAUGUGGCCCAAGGGGAGAGAGAGAGAGAGAGAGAGGUGUGGGUAAGAUCCCUUUCAUGCAAAGGUCAAUGAGAUUCGAUUGGGACUGGAAUUACCUGCAGGCAACUUACCCAUUCUUUUUUCCAUUUAUGAAUAACCUAAUGCUAAUUAUUCAUGUCAAUUAUAGAGCUAGAUUCAUUUUUUUUUUUUACGAAUUGUUGUUGCUCAACCUCCAACUUGCUAGCAAUUUUGCUUGUUUUACACUAAUAUAAAUUUAUUUAUUUUCUGAUUGCUGUUCAAUACAGGGUUUAGUUAAGGCCGUAAAAGCUGACUUAGCAAGAAUACCAAAGGAAGAAAUAGGCAUCGGGGCAAGGCUACUAUCUGCGGAAAGUUCACUCAAAGAGCUGAAGAGUGUGAUUUGGGAUUUAAAAGCAAAGGCAGAUUUGGUUGAUGACUUGGUGAACCUGGUCAUUAAAGCAGUAAUUGAUAAGGAUCUCAACAAUAUUAACCAGCCAACCAUGGUCUUGAUAGACGAAGCUACAAAGACCUUAAUUGAAGUGCCGAACGAGGCUCAAUCUCGCGGGAGCCGCCGCGCUAUUGCCAGAAAUAACGGAGGGCAUCAGGGUAGUUCUAGAGACGUUGCAAGAGAGGAAAUAGGCAUCGAGGCGAGCCCACUAUCAGUGGAGAGUUCACUCGAAGAGCUGAAGAGAGUGAUUUGGGAUUUAAAGGCAAAGACAAAAAUGGUUGAUGACUUGGUGAACCUGGUCAUUAAAGCAGCAAUUGAUAAUGAUCUCAACAUUAAACAGGCAACCAUGGUCAUGAUAGACGAAGCUACAGGGGCUUUCACCGAAGCGCUGAACAAAGAUGGAAAGCAACUAUUUCAAAAUUAUGGGUCCACUAAUUUAAAUGUGCAUCCCAGCCCAAAUUCACCUCUUAUUCAUCUAUACAGACCUUAUAUAUUAAGUUUUAUUCUUUUGCCUAUUAAU
rnacentral:lncRNA from 1 species